rnacentral:tRNA from 1 species
GCCUGGGUGGCUCAGUCGGUUAAGAGCCUGACUUCGGCUCAGGUCAUGAUCUCACAGUUUGUGGGUUCGAGCCCCGCGUCGGGCU